CUUCAGAAACCCUUUUAAGCUAAUUUUUCCUGACAUUUCCAACAGGCCUUUGAAAAUGCAGUGACUGAGAGAGCAACCAUGUGCUCCAUAACAUGCUCCCGAGUAGGGGGCGUUACUACAUCUAAUCUCCACCUUCUGCCUUGGACCUGAAUCUUCCGGGCAGCAAACAGCUAAGAAGAUUAAGAAGCAAAUGCUGGAAGGCCGGAUGUGUGCAGUGAGGAGAAGGCAUUGGUGAAAAUCAUGGUGACAAAACAUUAGCUGUGCUGAAAACAUUAGCACUGGAAAAGACGUUGGUGACCCUCACCAAAAUUCCUCAUCAACUGAAGCCCAGGGAGAGGCUCAGGGAUUCUCUCAAGCUGGUUGAUUGUCAAACGACGUAUAUAAGAUGUGGCCACAAUGCAUUCUGAGGGGCCUGGGCUGUGCCAUAAGCAGUGUCUCCAUUGAGAACGCAGCCGGGGACAUUCACACCACGGGCUACACCUCAGGUGGGCCAACAGUCCUCCUGAAAAUGAGCUGCAUCCUGAUUAUGGCUGGUAGUUGGGUGAGUCCUUCUUGAAACACGUAACAUGUAGUCUAGGUGGCUCACGGAUCAAAAUAAACAG
rnacentral:lncRNA from 1 species